CCUACGGGAGGCAGCAGUGGGGAAUAUUGGGCAAUGGACGCAAGUCUGACCCAGCGACGCCGCGUGAGGGAUGAAGGCCUUCGGAUUGUAAACCUCUUUCAGUAGGGAAGAAGCGAAAGUGACGGUACCUAAAGAAGAAGCACCGGCUAACUAUGUGCCAGCAGCCGCGGUAAUACAUAGGGUGCAAGCGUUGUCCGGAAUUAUUGGGCGUAAAGAGCUCGUAGGUUGUUUGUCGCGUCGAUUGUGAAAAUCUGAGGCUCAACCUCAGACCUGCAGUCGAUACGGGCAGACUAGAGUGUGGUAGGGGAGACUGGAAUUCCUGGUGUAGCGGUGGAAUGCGCAGAUAUCAGGAGGAACACCAAUGGCGAAGGCAGGUCUCUGGGCCAUAACUGACACUGAGGAGCGAAAGUGCGGGGAGCGAACAGGAUUAGAUACCCUGGUAGUCCGCACCGUAAACGGUGGGCACUAGUUGUGGGAACCUUCCACGGUUUCCGCGACGCAGCAAACGCAUUAAGUGCCCCGCCUGGGGAGUACGAUCGCAAGAUUAAAACUCAAAGGAAUUGACGG
rnacentral:rRNA from 1 species